AGUUUUGCAAGUUCUGCUCAAGAAAUGGAUCAAGACACAGCUCAUUGAUGCUGGAAUAGUCAUGUGCAAUCAAGGCCUCUUGUUUUAGGACAUUAAAUUGAGCUGUAAUAAAUUCUAUAAUCUUCUGAUCUUUUGUUAUAUGUUUUCCUGCAAAAAGCUCAAUAAGUCCACCAAAUACUGGGAUCAGAACUCGAGUGCCAACAAAUUCAGGAGAGAGAUUCG
rnacentral:misc_RNA from 1 species